rnacentral:rRNA from 1 species
AGGGCGCACGGUGAAUGCCUUGGCGCUGGAAGUCGAUGAAGGACGCGGUAAGCUGCGAUAAGCCUCGGUGAGCUGCAAACAAGCUUUGACCCGGGGAUUUCCGAAUGGGGAAACCCUCUCUGGCUAAUCCCGGAGAAUCCUGAGCUGAAUCCAUAGGCUCUGGAAGGCAACGGAGGGAAGUGAACCAUCUCAGUACCUCCAGGAAGAGAAAACAAUAGUGAUUCCGUCAGUAGCGGCGAGCGAACGCGGAUUAGCCCAAACCCUGUGCUUGCACAGUGGGGUUGGAGGACCUGUUGGGCCGCAAGGCCGGCGAGUCACAAACCAGUAACUUAGUCGAACGAUCUGGAACGAUCGGCCAGAGACGGUGAAAGCCCGGUAGGCAAAAAGUUACUGGCUCGUUGAACAGGCACCUGAGUACCGCGGGACACGUGAAAUCCCGUGGGAAUCUACGAGGACCAUCUCGUAAGGCUAAAUACUCUCCAGCGACCGAUAGUGAACCAGUACCGUGAGGGAAAGGUGAAAAGCACCCCUGUGAGGGGAGUGAAAAAGUACCUGAAACCGUGUGCCUACAAGCAGUGGGAGGGCUAUGCCCGUCUUCGGAUGGGAAUGCCUGACCGCGUGCCUUUUGCAUAAUGAGCCGGCUAGUUAAUCUCAGUGGCAAGGUUAAGCGUAAGCGAGCCGCAGCGAAAGCGAGUCCGAAAUGGGCGUUCAGUCGCUGGGAUUAGACGCGAAGCGAGGUGAUCUACCCUUGGCCAGGUUGAAGUACGGGUAACACCGUAUGGAGGACCGAACCAGUGUUGGUUGAAAACAACUUGGAUGAGUUGAGGGUAGGGGUGAAAGGCUAAUCAAACCUCGUGAUUGCCCGUUCUCCUCGAAAUAUCUUUAGGGAUAGCCUCGGGAGGUCGGCGUUGGUGGUAGAGCACUGAAUGGACUAGGGGGCUUACCAGCUUACUGAAUCCAAUCAAACUUCGAAUGCCAACGACACGUAUCCCGGGAGUCAGACAGUGGGGGCUAAGCUUCAUUGUCGAGAGGGAAACAGCCCAGACUACCGGCUAAGGUCCCUAAGUGUGUGCUAAGUGGUAAAGGAUCUGGAGACGCCGAGACAACCAGGAGGUUGGCUUAGAAGCAGCCAUCCUUUAAAGAAAGCGUAAUAGCUCACUGGUCAAGCGGCUCUGGGCCGACAAUAUAACGGGGCUCAAGCACACCACCGAAGCCGUAGAUUGCGACAACCCUGCGGGGUUGUCCAGUGGUAGAGGAGCGUUCUGUACACGUUGAAGCCAGAUCGUGAGGACUGGUGGAGAGUACAGAAGUGACCCUGCCGGCAUAAGUAGCGAGAAGGGAAGUGAGAAUCUUCCCCGCCGUAAGCCUAAGGUUUCCUGAGGAAGGUUCGUCCGCUCAGGGUCAGUCGGGAGCUAACGCGAGGCCGAAAGGCGUAGCGGAUGCACAUCCGGUCAACAUUCCGGAACUACCUUACCCGCGUUAUCACGAUGGGGGGACGCAGGAGGCUAGACGAGCCCACGAUUGGACGUGUGGGUUUAGUGAUGUAGGGGGAAUCGCCAGGCAAAUCCGGUGAUUCACAAGCCCUGAGGUCACAUAGCGAGAGGCGCAAGCCUCAUAAAGUCGUCGACGCCACGCUGCCAAGAAAAUCCUCUAAGGAGUGGGUGGGGUACCCGUACCGCAAACCGACACAGGUAGGCGAGGAGAAAAUCCUCAGGCGCAAGUGAGAACACUCGUUUAGGAACUCGGCAAACUCGCCCCGUAACUUCGGAAGAAGGGGUGCUCCGUGCUCGUCAGUGACCGCGCGUCACGAAGCGAGUGGGAGUUGCAGUGAAGAGGCUCAGGCGACUGUUUACUAAAAACACAGGACUCUGCUAAGUCGAAAACGACGUAUAGGGUCUGACGCCUGCCCGGUGCCGGAAGGUUAAAGGGAGAGGUUAGCCGCAAGGCGACGCUUCGAGCUGAAGCCCCGGUAAACGGCGGCCGUAACUAUAACGGUCCUAAGGUAGCGAAAUUCCUUGUCGGGUAAGUUCCGACCUGCACGAAUGGCGUAACGAUCUGAGCGCUGUCUCAACGAGUGGCACUGCGAAUUUGUGGUACCGGUGAAGACGCCGGUUGCCCGUGACUAGACGAAAAGACCCCGUGCACCUUUACUGCAACUUAGUAGUGAAUGCUGCCGCAAUAUGCGCAGGAUAGGUGGGAGACGUUGAACCCAGGCUCUCGGGCUUGGGGGAGUCGACGGUGAGAUACCACCCUUAUUGCUGCGGCGUUCUAACUUGAGCCUGUCAUCCAGGCUGAGGACACUGCUAGGUGGGUAGUUUGACUGGGGCGGUCGCCUCCUAAACUGUAACGGAGGCGCGCGAAGGUUCGCUCAGGCUGUUUGGAAAUCAGCCGUAGAGUGCAAAGGCAUAAGCGAGCUUGACUGCGAGUCCAACAAGACGAGCAGGUGGGAAACCAGGCCUUAGUGAUCCGGUGGUUCCGCGUGGAAGGGCCAUCGCUCAACGGAUAAAAGGUACGCCGGGGAUAACAGGCUGAUCUGAGCCAAGAGUUCACAUCGACGCUCAGGUUUGGCACCUCGAUGUCGGCUCAUCGCAUCCUGGAGCUGUAGCAGGUUCCAAGGGUCCGGCUGUUCGCCGGUUAAAGCGGUACGUGAGCUGGGUUUAGAACGUCGCGAGACAGUUCGGUCUCUAUCUGUCAUGGGCGCAGGAGAUUUGAGUGGGGCUGUCCUUAGUACGAGAGGACCGGGAUGGACGCACCUCUAGUGUACGAGUUGUCACGCCAGUGGCAGCGCUCGGUAGCUAAGUGCGGACGGGAGAAAUGCUGAAAGCAUCUAAGCGUGAAACCCUCCACAAGAUGAGAUCUCCCAGAGCAUAAGCUCUCUAAAGGCUCCUGGAAGACGACCAGGUGAUAGGCCAGGUGUGUAAGGCGAGCGAUCGCUUCAGCUAACUGGUACUAAUCAGCCGUGAGGCUUGACC